AAGAAUUUAAAGUAUAUAAUGAUUGAAAAAAAUAAAAUCAAGAAACAGAUAAAUAAAAAGAAUAAAAAAUAAGAAUUUAACUCUUGUGUUAUAAAACAUAUUAGAGUUAAUAUGUAGUAUUUCAAAUUCAAAUAAUAAUUAAAUUUUAAGUUAGAAAAUAAGAAUAAAAAAUAUAUAAUAGCACAAAUUCACAAUAACAACCG
rnacentral:lncRNA from 1 species